CCUGCGGAGGGAUCAUUACUGAGUUUACGCUCUAUAACCCUUUGUGAACAUACCUAUAACUGUUGCUUCGGCGGGUAGGGUCUCCGCGACCCUCCCGGCCUCCCGCCUCCGGGCGGGUCGGCGCCCGCCGGAGGAUAACCAAACUCUGAUUUAACGACGUUUCUUCUGAGUGGUACAAGCAAAUAAUCAAAACUUUUAACAACGGAUCUCUUGGUUCUGGCAUCGAUGAAGAACGCAGCGAAAUGCGAUAAGUAAUGUGAAUUGCAGAAUUCAGUGAAUCAUCGAAUCUUUGAACGCACAUUGCGCCCGCCAGCAUUCUGGCGGGCAUGCCUGUUCGAGCGUCAUUUCAACCCUCAAGCUCUGCUUGGUGUUGGGGCCCUACAGCUGAUGUAGGCCCUCAAAGGUAGUGGCGGACCCUCCCGGAGCCUCCUUUGCGUAGUAACUUUACGUCUCGCACUGGGAUCCGGAGGGACUCUUGCCGUAAAACCCCCCAAUUUUCCAAAGGUUGACCUCGGAUCAGGUAGGAAUACCCGCUGAACUUAAGCAUAUCAAUAA
rnacentral:rRNA from 1 species